rnacentral:rRNA from 1 species
CCGGCGAUGUCCGAAUGGGGAAACCCAGUGCAAUUCGUUGCACUAUCGUUAACUGAAUACAUAGGUUAACGAGGCGAACCGGGGGAACUGAAACAUCUAAGUACCCCGAGGAAAAGAAAUCAACCGAGAUUCCCCCAGUAGCGGCGAGCGAACGGGGAGCAGCCCAGAGUCUGAAUCAGCUUGUGUGUUAGUGGAACGGUCUGGAAAGUCCGACGGUACAGGGUGAUAGUCCCGUACACCAAAAUGCACAGGCUGUGAACUCGAAGAGUAGGGCGGGACACGUGGUAUCCUGUCUGAAUAUGGGGGGACCAUCCUCCAAGGCUAAAUACUCCUGACUGACCGAUAGUGAACCAGUACCGUGAGGGAAAGGCGAAAAGAACCCCGGCGAGGGGAGUGAAAAAGAACCUGAAACCGUGUACGUACAAGCAGUGGGAGCACCUUCGGGUGUGACUGCGUACCUUUUGUAUAAUGGGUCAGCGACUUAUAUUCUGUAGCAAGGUUAACCGUAUAGGGGAGCCGCAGGGAAACCGAGUCUUAACUGGGCGUUAAGUUGCAGGGUAUAGACCCGAAACCCGGUGAUCUAGCCAUGGGCAGGUUGAAGGUUGGGUAACACUAACUGGAGGACCGAACCGACUAAUGUUGAAAAAUUAGCGGAUGACUUGUGGCUGGGGGUGAAAGGCCAAUCAAACCGGGAGAUAGCUGGUUCUCCCCGAAAGCUAUUUAGGUAGCGCCUCGUGAAUUCAUCUUCGGGGGUAGAGCACUGUUUCGGCUAGGGGGUCAUCCCGACUUACCAACCCGAUGCAAACUACGAAUACCGAAGAAUGUUAUCACGGGAGACACACGGCGGGUGCUAACGUCCGUCGUGAAGAGGGAAACAACCCAGACCGCCAGCUAAGGUCCCAAAGUCAUGGUUAAGUGGGAAACGAUGUGGGAAGGCACAGACAGCCAGGAUGUUGGCUUAGAAGCAGCCAUCAUUUAAAGAAAGCGUAAUAGCUCACUGGUCGAGUCGGCCUGCGCGGAAGAUGUAACGGGGCUAAACCAUGCACCGAAGCUGCGGCAGCGACACUAUGUGUUGUUGGGUAGGGGAGCGUUCUGUAAGCCUGCGAAGGUGUGCUGUGAGGCAUGCUGGAGGUAUCAGAAGUGCGAAUGCUGACAUAAGUAACGAUAAAGCGGGUGAAAAGCCCGCUCGCCGGAAGACCAAGGGUUCCUGUCCAACGUUAAUCGGGGCAGGGUGAGUCGACCCCUAAGGCGAGGCCGAAAGGCGUAGUCGAUGGGAAACAGGUUAAUAUUCCUGUACUUGGUGUUACUGCGAAGGGGGGACGGAGAAGGCUAUGUUAGCCGGGCGACGGUUGUCCCGGUUUAAGCAUGUAGGCUGGUUGUCCAGGCAAAUCCGGAUAAUCAAGGCUGAGGUGUGAUGACGAGGCACUACGGUGCUGAAGUAACAAAUGCCCUGCUUCCAGGAAAAGCCUCUAAGCAUCAGGUAACAUCAAAUCGUACCCCAAACCGACACAGGUGGUCAGGUAGAGAAUACCAAGGCGCUUGAGAGAACUCGGGUGAAGGAACUAGGCAAAAUGGUGCCGUAACUUCGGGAGAAGGCACGCUGGUGUGUAGGUGAAGUCCCUGCGGAUGGAGCUGAGACCAGUCGAAGAUACCAGCUGGCUGCAACUGUUUAUUAAAAACACAGCACUGUGCAAACACGAAAGUGGACGUAUACGGUGUGACGCCUGCCCGGUGCCGGAAGGUUAAUUGAUGGGGUUAUCCGUAAGGAGAAGCUCUUGAUCGAAGCCCCGGUAAACGGCGGCCGUAACUAUAACGGUCCUAAGGUAGCGAAAUUCCUUGUCGGGUAAGUUCCGACCUGCACGAAUGGCGUAAUGAUGGCCAGGCUGUCUCCACCCGAGACUCAGUGAAAUUGAACUCGCUGUGAAGAUGCAGUGUACCCGCGGCAAGACGGAAAGACCCCGUGAACCUUUACUAUAGCUUGACACUGAACAUUGAGCCUUGAUGUGUAGGAUAGGUGGGAGGCUUUGAAGCGUGGACGCCAGUCUGCGUGGAGCCAACCUUGAAAUACCACCCUUUAAUGUUUGAUGUUCUAACGUUGGCCCCUGACCGGGGUUGCGGACAGUGUCUGGUGGGUAGUUUGACUGGGGCGGUCUCCUCCCAAAGCGUAACGGAGGAGCACGAAGGUUAGCUAAUCCUGGUCGGACAUCAGGAGGUUAGUGCAAUGGCAUAAGCUAGCUUGACUGCGAGCGUGACGGCGCGAGCAGGUGCGAAAGCAGGUCAUAGUGAUCCGGUGGUUCUGAAUGGAAGGGCCAUCGCUCAACGGAUAAAAGGUACUCCGGGGAUAACAGGCUGAUACCGCCCAAGAGUUCAUAUCGACGGCGGUGUUUGGCACCUCGAUGUCGGCUCAUCACAUCCUGGGGCUGAAGUAGGUCCCAAGGGUAUGGCUGUUCGCCAUUUAAAGUGGUACGCGAGCUGGGUUUAGAACGUCGUGAGACAGUUCGGUCCCUAUCUGCCGUGGGCGCUGGAGAAUUGAGGGGGGCUGCUCCUAGUACGAGAGGACCGGAGUGGACGCAUCACUGGUGUUCGGGUUGUCAUGCCAAUGGCACUGCCCGGUAGCUAAAUGCGGAAGAGAUAAGUGCUGAAAGCAUCUAAGCACGAAACUUGCCCCGAGAUGAGUUCUCCCUGAGACUUUAAGUCUCCUGAAGGAACGUUAAAGACGAUGACGUUGAUAGGCCGGGUGUGUAAGCGCAGCGAUGCGUUGAGCUAACCGGUACUAAUGAACCGUGAGGCUUAACCUU